rnacentral:rRNA from 1 species
UGGGGAAUAUUGGACAAUGGGCGGAAGCCUGAUCCAGCCAUGCCGCGUGUGUGAAGAAGGCCUUUUGGUUGUAAAGCACUUUAAGCGAGGAGGAGGCUACUUGGAUUAAUACUCUAGGAUAGUGGACGUUACUCGCAGAAUAAGCACCGGCUAACUCUGUGCCAGCAGCCGCGGUAAUACAGAGGGUGCGAGCGUUAAUCGGAUUUACUGGGCGUAAAGCGUGCGUAGGCGGCUUCUUAAGUCGGAUGUGAAAUCCCUGAGCUUAACUUAGGAAUUGCAUUCGAUACUGGGAAGCUAGAGUAUGGGAGAGGAUGGUAGAAUUCCAGGUGUAGCGGAGAAAUGCGUAGAGAUCUGGAGGAAUACCGAUGGCGAAGGCAGCCAUCUGGCCUAAUACUGACGCUGAGGUACGAAAGCAUGGGGAGCAAACAGG